rnacentral:rRNA from 1 species
CAGUCGCCGCGGUAAUACGGAGGGGGCUAGCGUUGUUCGGAAUUACCGGGCGUAAAGCGCACGUAGGCGGCUUGGUAAGUUAGAGGUGAAAGCCUGGAGCUCAACUCCAGAAUUGCCUUUAAGACUGCCGAGCUAGCAGGUGAGAGAGGUAAGUGGAAUUCCGAGUGUAGAGGUGAAAUUCGUAGAUAUUCGGAAGAACACCAGUGGCGAAGGCGGCUUACUGGCUCAUACUGGACGCUGAGGUGCGAAAGCGUGGGGAGCAAACAGGAUUAGAUACCCCGGUAGUCCCUGUCUCUUAUAC